AAUAUUCCUGAUCUUGUCCUUUUAUCUGGUGUCCCAUGACACAAAGAAUGAUCUCUUUCUGGAAGCUGUGUUGCAGUGUGUGAAUAUAUUAGAUAUGCUGGUUAAGCUAUUUCUCCUCUUUCCCCAGCUCAAUAGCCCUCAUUCCUAUUGUUAAAGCAGUUUAAAAGCUGCUUUAAAGAACAACAACACCAAGUAAAACCUUCAGGACUGCAAGUAUCUUACUCUCGGAAUACCCAAGUAAGCUAAACACUGCCAUAAAACAAAAAAUGAGCAAGAAGGUGAUUAAGAACAGGAGCUUUGUUCUGUCAGCAUUGGCUGGUGAAGCAAUGUGUGCGUCCCCAGAACAUGAAAUGCCACAUCAUCAUCUCCUACUCAGUCUCCUCCUAACUCCAGCACAGCUGGGUCAUUUUGUCUCAAUUUCCUUCAAUAAUGAGAUCCACAAUUACGAAAUGAAGGUUCAGAAUAAAAUACCAUCUCAAGUGAUUGCAGUCUCUAAUGAGACAGAACUGCUGUCCUCUUCACGGCUCCUUGCAGCUGAUUCAACAAGUAAUUACGUAUGACGGCAACGUUGGAGAAAAAGGCAGUUUGAAAUGCUGCAAUUCUUCUCUCACCACGUCGGAGUUAUUCAUGGUUAAAAAAAUACUCUUUUAAUCAGAUUGGUGUUAUUGAAAUCUAGAGAUCAGUGGGUUUGGUUAACAUGUAAUGCCUCUGGGGGCCACAUUCUGCCCUCAAAUAGAAGCAAUCCCACGAGCUGUGUGCUGAUACGCAGAUGAAAAUUUUAACCUUUCAGGCAAAAAAAAAUCCUCCUCCUUCUCCUCCUGGCUUCCCUCAAGAAUCCACUUAAUCAUAUUUUGAAAUCUGAUAGGUUUUAGGAGUGAUAACAGUAGUCUGGGCUGCAGCAAUAGAAAGAAACGGAUUGUUCUAACCUUUAACAAGAGCGAAUGCAAAGAGCGAUUAAUUUGUGAGGCUUUCUGGGGUUAGAGAUGAAAUCCCAGCUCCCUUGAAGUCUAUCGUUUCAGCUCCUAUGGAGAUUGCACAGCAAGGAUCACAAUCCAGCUCCUGUUUUAUUCCUACAAUAAGCAACCUGAAGUUUCGCUAUCACCAAAUAAGCUGU
rnacentral:lncRNA from 1 species